rnacentral:rRNA from 1 species
UACGUAGGGGGCAAGCGUUGUCCGGAAUUACUGGGCGUAAAGAGCUUGUAGGCGGUUUGUCGCGUCGUCCGUGAAAACUCGCAGCUUAACUGUGGGCGUGCGGGCGAUACGGGCAGACUUGAGUAUUGCAGGGGAGACUGGAAUUCCUGGUGUAGCGGUGAAAUGCGUAGAGAUCCGGAGGAACGCCGGUGGCGAAAGCGGCCACCUGGGUCUGACCUGACGCUGAGGUGCGAAAGCGUGGGGAGCAAACCGG